GUGGCCAUCAUGGCCUGCAGACGCAUCGACUCGGCGAUAAGCACAAUUUGCACCACCAAAUCUGUGGCGGUGCCCUGUAAGGAUGCGCAGAAACACCGUUACCCGCACCGUCCACAACUCACCUGAAAAGCCGAAUAACGACCGGCGCGUCGUGGUCGAUUAUAGCUGGGCAGAUAGCGUCUGAUUGGAUCCAGUUCGUUGAUGUGCAGCAGUCCAGCGGUCAGCAGCUGGGCAAUGAUGAAGAAUGACUGACCCCAGAGGAACAGCGACUGGGAUGGCGCACGCAUAUAGGAGCCCUCGCCAUCUGGCGCAUAGUACAUGGUGACCACUGGAUCACCAUUGGCAUCGGUGUGCAGACAGCGGCGCAAAUCAUUCUGAAACUCCUCAAUUUGUUCAUUGUUAUUCUUAAAGACACCAUCGAUUAUCAUCGAUAUGAAGAACAAUGGCCACUCGCACUCAACACCCUCAAACUCCUUCAACUCGCCGGCCUGAUAGUAGCGUCGCGUUUUGUCCUCCGCUUUGCUAAGAAACCCAUCGCGUGUAAAACGCUUGAACCCCAUUUUACUGCGCAGCCGAUUGACCACAUUCUGUUUGGUCUGCUCCACCAAGCGAUCUUCAUGCGAGGCAAAUGCUGGGAAGGAAAGCGUUAACAGCAGCGAUGCAUCCACGCCCUGAAAGCGAGAAGGUGUUUGAACUUCGAAUAUAUGUCGUAAUUUUUAAAUAUGCACACACCUUCGAGCUGGACUCGCGCGGCAACAUGGUCUCAAAGAUGCUGCGAUUACGAUUGUGCGCAUCAAUGUCCACGUAGACGACGCUCCAUGAGGCGCCUUUCUCGCCGAACAAGUUGCAGCCAUUGAUGGCCUCCAGUGCGGACUUGGCCAUGCCUAAAACAAAGCACAUUAGCAUGGGCCAAUAUCUUAAGAGUGGACUUACCUAUAGAAGACGCGUGAAUUUCGGGUGUGCCAUUGUUGUACUUGGAGCCACGCUCCCACAUGCCAAAAUCGGGCGUGCGAUAGGCACGCUCCACAUAGUAAACCAGAUUCUGCACAAAGGCCACCUCAUCGUGAGUGUAAAUGAUCUGCAGGCCCGAGGUGAUCAUCUGCACUAGAAAUAGCAGAUAUAAGGAGACCUGUAAAUAAGCAAAUGGUGGUUUAGGAGAUUAGGUAUUCCGGCAAGAAGCUUCUCCCUACUUACGCAAUCGAUUUGCAAAUGAUUGUAGAACUCAUCGGGAUAGAUCUUUUCGCCCGUGUGCAAUUGGAAUUUGCUAUGCAGCGCAUGCUGAUUGGACUGACGCUGCUUAAAGAGCUCCACGCGCGAUGCCUGCUUAACCCAGCACUCCAGAAUGCCGCGCAUGCAUUUGACCGUGCUCUGGCCGAGCUCAUAUGACUUGCCGCGAUCAUCAUCGAUGCGUCUGUACGCCUGAUACAAGCUCCAAACGGCAGCAGCACAAUAUACACUGUCACGCACCGAACCCACCACCUGAUCGGUGCUCAUCACCGGAAACAGGCCUGUGAUGGGGCUCUGAUAGCGCAGCAGCUGGCGUUUGACUACAGGAGGGGAACAAAACGUAUUGAAGUAAGAUGAAUAUAAAUGUUUUAUAGUUUGAACCAACUCCCUACUUUGCAACUCCAUGUAGCCGGACUAUGCUUCCAAUAUUGUACUGAAAAUAUUGUAAGUCGUAAAUAUUUUCAUAAACAAGAUUCGGGCUAAAUUUGAGUCCAAAGGUUCUUAUACUUUGGACCUAGGUCUUCCUCAAAAGGUUUUUUCUUUAUGUUUUGCGGGAAAUUAUUGGAAAAGACAAAGAUAAUAUUUGGACAAUUGGACUAUUUAAAUUUAUAGAUCUAAUAUACUCGUUUUUAAAUACAGAGUGCCAAGACUUGAUUAGUAAAGUGUCAAUGGCUUCAGCACGCAUGCUUACGCCACAUGCUGUGGGGCUUUGUUGACAAAUGCAAAUAAACAAACCCCAAAUGUUUGCUUUGGAGAGAGAAAGAGAGACAGAGCGAAGGGAGAGAAACCCCGCGAGCAACAUAUCGAAGACGCUAGCAAAAUGUCUGCCGAUAUUUUGCUAAAUGCUUAUAAAUAGAAUCAAAGACGCGACGCGAUGAGAAGCAGCGUCGUGGCAACAAUUGAUGCUAAAUUGGCUGCCCUACACAGACGCCUCCAAGGUUAUAUAAAAUGAGGGCUGUACGAUAAAGAUUGGUGGUUCCGCCUAAUUACGCUAUUUACCG